AUUCUCAAAUAUCAGCUGAGUGGUGGGGACAGCCAUCAGCAAGAUCAGAUGCCCUGGUUAACUAGCAGCCCUCCAGGUCCUGUUUGCCUCCCUCUCCCCUUGACCAGGAGAGCCAGUGAACCAGCAUUUACAACCGGUACACAAGCUGGGAAGAGCCACGUUAAGGUGGAGGGUGUGGAAGAAAGAGGUAAAGGAUGUAGAAGCUACACCAUGCCUCACAGCCUCUCCUUUCUGGAGGCGAUGCUCGGUUCAGACAACACAGUCCCAGAAAGAGAUGCUCUUGUGGUUGAUGUCAUCAACACUGCUACAGAGGAUACUGAAGUCAAGAGGAAUUCUGUUGACCCCCUGCCUGGCAAUCUCUCCUCUCCUGAAUCAGUCUUGGAGGAUACACCCACGGGAUUUCUGAACCUGGGCUUCUGUGAAGAAGAUUCAUCCCAGGGGUCAGACAUUCCCAGUGACCAGCCCCAGGUGGCACCCAUGACAUCUGGAUCCAGGCCACUCAGGAUCUGGAAACUGGUGAGGAAGCAAAUUUCCCAUGCACUGAGAGCACUCUGCAGCAGCUGCUGCUGCUGCUGCCUGCCCACCCCAAGUGUGGAAACUGAAAUGGCCCAAUAGAAUUCCAGACCUGGUGAGGAGCCACGGAAGGGACCCAAGACAGAUCACCAGAGUGCCAGCUCCCUCCAACACAGAGCAACAGGCUCCUGCCUGCAUUCAUCCUCCAGCUAUUGGGUCUGAGCUGCCAAUCUGCAUCUCUUUCAGCUCAAUUCAGCUUUGGAACUGUUGUGGGACAAUUUGGGGUCAUAUAGCAUAUGUACCCCAUGACCCUCUACCUUCCUAGCUUUGGUUGUGCUUGUAGGACCACUCACACUGCAUGGAAAACAGCAGCCUCUACCACCAGGAAUGACUUCAUACCAAUCACGGCUGCUCAUCAUCUUGGUCACUUUAACCCUCCAACUUACUCUGUGACUGCCUUUUGGACAAAACAGCAAGACCUGUGCAAAUCCUCUGGAGAAUGGAGCCUCCUUCAUCCAGGCUUCCCAUGGUGCCUCCCACCUCCUGAUCCAAGAAUUCUGCAUCAUUUUUCCAUCUCAUAGAGGCAUUUAUAACUGAUAUUUGAUCUUACAUUAACAUUGUUCUGCUCCAAUGUGGGAAGGUAAGUAGGCCUUGCCAGGCCUGAUGCUGAGUAUUGCCUCUACAAGAACAGCAGCCAUGGGAAUUCUUAAUGACCAAUGCCCACCAUUGGGGUCAGACUCAGAAGGAAACCUUGAUCAUCAUGGAUCUCUUGAUGACAGCCCCUGGUGCAGUGUGAAGCACUGGUUGAGUUGUAGUGUCUCAACUGUUUUCUAGGACGCCUUCCAGUUAGGGAGCAGCUCACUGAUUUGGCAAGGGAAAAUGAACUCGACAGGGAAUCCAGGGUCCUAAUCUGUGUGAAUCAUGCACCUGAAGGUAAGAUUGAGUACAGUAAGUAUCUGUGUGUGGCAGAAGAUAAGUCUCUGAAGUCUGGUCUUGAUGUGCUGAAAAGGAUCCCAUGAAGUAGCAUGUGCCAGCAGCCCUGACACAGAGGGAAAGUUCUCAUUGACUUGCUCAACUGAAGAGCAAUGGGAGACUGAGAGACUGCAGAGGUGUGACAAGGGAGGAACCAGCUUUUCUGCUGUAGCUGGCCUCGAGCUCCACUCUGACCAUCUGAUCCUGGGCUGUUAGCAAACACUGAUGCAUGUUAAAGUCUUUGGCCGGAUCUUCCCAGUGGAUGAUGGCCAGCUUGUGCUGUCACUGACUUCUAGAACCCUGACCAUCUGUGUCAGGGAUUGAACUGAAGGUUCUUUCAUCCAGGAUGAACUACAAACAGUAGCGAAGUCCAAAUCUAACCUUCAGAAUAGAAGUCUAUGUCCACCAGUGAACAGAUACCUGGAGGAUCCCAACCUGCAGUCCAGGCACAAAUCACAUGACUUCAACCUGACCAAUCAGGAGAGUCCAGAUUGACUGCCUGGUCUGAUUGAUUAAGUUCUUUCCAUUUGAGCCUUGAGAUUACAGCUGAGGACUCAAGAGUCCCUUUCCCAUGUCCGUCCUCUUUAAAGUGAUGAGCUCUCUACAUCAGGAGACACAGGGUGGUGACUUACAGGUGUGGCCUGAGACAGCAGAAGCAGGAGCUCUGCAGGAAGUCCAGAUGGCAGUGUGCCCACUUCCCCAGCAUGAAGGGUCUGUGUCCAGCACAGGAGGAGGGAAGUGACAGCAAGCUGGAGGAAAAUGGGUACCACUUUGGAUGGAAUGCUGGGACAUUGCUCCACUUUGGAAGUGAGUAGGCCAAACCUAGCCUAGGGCAC